rnacentral:rRNA from 1 species
UACGUAGGGUGCGAGCGUUAAUCGGAUUAACUGGGCGUAAAGCGUGCGCAGGCGGCCCGUUAAGACAGGUGUGAAAUCCCUGGGCUCAACCUAGGAAUUGCGCUUGUGACUGGCGGGCUCGAGUACGGUAGAGGGGGGUGGAAUUCCUGGUGUAGCAGUGAAAUGCGUAGAGAUCAGGAGGAACACCGAUGGCGAAGGCAGCCCCCUGGGCCUGUACUGACGCUCAUGCACGAAAGCGUGGGGAGCAAACAGG